UAUCUAAACAUCAAUACUCAUGCAGGAGCUCCUUAAUGAUGUUGGUGAUUAGUUGGAUUUGCCUUGGGACUGUCAACUACUGGAGGGGGGAUUUCUCUGCUGCUUCUGCGAGUUAGCAUUCCUUGAAUAUCAGAGAAAGCUGUGAUUCUUGCUUCUGUCAAACUUGAUGAUAGCAGAAAAUAGGUUACGACCAUAGCCCACAAAACAGCUCUCCUGAGAAGCCUCUGCAUUUUCAAAUUCUACUGCUUGAG
rnacentral:misc_RNA from 1 species